AGUGAACGCUGGCGGUAGGCCUAACACAUGCAAGUCGAACGGCAGCACAGUAAGAGCUUGCUCUUACGGGUGGCGAGUGGCGGACGGGUGAGGAAUACAUCGGAAUCUACUUUUUCGUGGGGGAUAACGUAGGGUAACUUACGCUACUACCGCAUACGACCUACGGGUGAAAGCAGGGGAUCUUCGGACCUUGCGCGAUUGAAUGAGCCGAUGUCAGAUUAGCUAGUUGGCGGGGUAAAGGCCCACCAAGGCGACGAUCCGUAGCUGGUCUGAGAGGAUGAUCAGCCACACUGGAACUGAGACACGGUCCAGACUCCUACGGGAGGCAGCAGUGGGGAAUAUUGGACAAUGGGCGCAAGCCUGAUCCAGCCAUACCGCGUGGGUGAAGAAGGCCUUCGGGUUGUAAAGCCCUUUUGUUGGGAAAGAAAAGCAGCAGGUUAAUACCCCGCUGUUCUGACGGUACCCAAAGAAUAAGCACCGGCUAACUUCGUG
rnacentral:rRNA from 1 species